CACUCUGGGCAUCCCAGUGGCAUUGCUCCAGACUUUCACUGUUGGGACCGAAGCCCCUUCACAGCAACAUCUCCAGUGACUCCAGAGGCAUCCCCGGCCCGUGACUCUCCACACACCCCAAGCACACCCUGCAGCUCCCACUGCAGCUGCACACUGAGCCACCUGCACUGCCUGUGCUCCUCCUGCUAGCCCCAAAUACUUUGUUAAACUCUUCUGGGGCCCACACCUUGAAGAGCUGUCAUGUCUAUGCCAAUUGCUUCUUUUUCUAAUGUGAUAAAAAUUUGCUCAAAAUGGUCACCUGAGAUGCUGAAGCUCAUCCUGAGAGCCACAACCCCUGUAGUGUCCUAGAGACACAGCCACCUGCCUGGGAUGCUUGAGCCAGGAUUUCCCCUUCCCACCCUCUUAAUGGAAUCUGAACCCCUGGGAGUUCGUGAGCACCUUCCAGGAGCCGCCCCAUAACACUGCAUGGGACGUGUCCCUGGUAAAGGUGCAGCUGCAAAGUUCUGCCAGGCACGUCCACAGAAAUUCAAUUUGUGCUCAAUGGGAGGAAUGGGAGACUCCUGGCAGCCUUGUGUCUGCCAGGCACCCUGAGGCACUGGGAGCCAGGGGAUGACUUUGAAAGUGUGACCCUUGCUAGUGCUGGUGAGGCUGAGUGCUGGGCUGGGGGUGCCUGGAGACUGUUGGUGGCUGAGGAACUUUUCUCUUGCUUUCAGUUUGCUGUUCCUUGGCUGUGUUUCUGGUCUCAGUGGGGAUUUGCCAUCGUGAUAAAUGGAUGUGAUUCAUGCUGAAUAAGUUGUACUCAUAGCAAUAAUUUGGGAAAACAAUUGGAAAAGUAUAUGUGAUUAGUGUUACGAAGUAGAUCGGUUUCUUCAAGAAUACAUGUGGAAAGCAGGAUGCAGGAGUUGGAUUCGGCCUUGGAAAUGGAGGAAGUCAGGAACUGACUCCCAAACCAAAAUUGGCAUCAAUUGAAGUUAAAAGACAACUCCCAGAACAGGAUCAACCUUGAAUAUCAAUAAAAUUUGGACCAUUCCGGAUAGGGAACCUAAAAUAGCGGUCUUAUCUAUGAAAUAAUAAGGCUGAAUUGGAAGAAAAUGCAUCAAGCUCAAUGUGCAUGUGCAACCUGCCAGGUCAUUCAGAGGACAGCGAGGAAGACCUUCGGCCUUCCUCCAAGAAGACCCCUGAAGAGACCAGAAGACCCCAAAGCAACAAUGGGAGCAUGCACCAUGCAGCAGAGUGAUGUAGAUUUCAAGAAUCGAAAAUGGGAGGAGAUUUACAGGAACUAUUGAUGAAUAUGUAUUAGCAUACAGUAAAAGUUGUGGUGGGGAGCCCUCCCCGUGCCCCAAUCGGUUUCACUUAUGCUUUAUCCAAACCAUUGCCAAAUUACUUUUUGUAACCAUUUCAUUAUAUUUGAUUGUGUUAUUAUUAUUUUAUACCCCAAUUAAAAUUG
rnacentral:lncRNA from 1 species